GUGGGGAAUAUUGGACAAUGGGCGCAAGCCUGAUCCAGCCAUGCCGCGUGCGUGAAGAAGGCCUUCGGGUUGUAAAGCACUUUUGUUGGGAAAGAAAUCCUGUCGGCUAAUACCCGGCGGGGAUGACGGUACCCAAAGAAUAAGCACCGGCUAACUUCGUGCCAGCAGCCGCGGUAAUACGAAGGGUGCAAGCGUUACUCGGAAUUACUGGGCGUAAAGCGUGCGUAGGUGGUUCGUUAAGUCAGAUGUGAAAGCCCCGGGCUCAACCUGGGAAUUGCAUUUGAUACUGGCGGACUAGAGUGCGGUAGAGGAGAGUGGAAUUCCCGGUGUAGCAGUGAAAUGCGUAGAGAUCGGGAGGAACAUCAGUUGCGAAGGCGGCUUGCUGGACAGAUACUGACGCUGAGGUGCGAAAGCGUGGGGAGCGAACAGGAUUAGAAACCCCAGUAGUCC
rnacentral:rRNA from 1 species